rnacentral:rRNA from 1 species
UAUCAACGCUGAGGUGUGAUGACGAGCCACUACGGUGGUGAAGUAGUUGAUGCCAAGCUUCCAGGAAAAGCCUCUAAGCAUCAGGUAACAUUAAAUCGUACCCCAAACCGACACAGGUGGUCAGGUAGAGAAUACUCAGGCGCUUGAGAGAACUCGGGUGAAGGAACUAGGCAAAAUGGUGCCGUAACUUCGGGAGAAGGCACGCUGGCAUUAGGUAAAGAGACUUGCUCUCGGCGCCGAAGCCAGUCGCAGAUACCAGCUGGCUGCAACUGUUUAAUAAAAACACAGCACUGUGCAAACACGAAAGUGGACGUAUACGGUGUGACGCCUGCCCGGUGCUGGAAGGUUAAUUGAUGGGGUCAGCCGCAAGGCGAAGCUCUUGAUCGAAGCCCCAGUAAACGGCGGCCGUAACUAUAACGGUCCUAAGGUAGCGAAAUUCCUUGUCGGGUAAGUUCCGACCUGCACGAAUGGCGUAAUGAUGGCCAGGCUGUCUCCACCCGAGACUCAGUGAAAUUGAACUCGCUGUGAAGAUGCAGUGUACCCGCGGCAAGACGGAAAGACCCCGUGAACCUUUACUAUAGCUUGACACUGAACAUUGAGCCUUGAUGUGUAGGAUAGGUGGGAGGCAUUGAAGUGUGGACGCCAGUCUGCAUGGAGCCAACCUUGAAAUACCACCCUUUAAUGU